AACCUUUGGUGCGCCUGGGGGCGUGUGGCUCACGCGUCUUCAACCUCUGGUGAGAGUGGGGGCGCUUGGGCGCGUGGUCUGCACUCGUUUUCAACCUCUGGACGACCGUUGACGCGUGAAUCGUACCUUUCGACCUUCUAGGAAGGCGUGUGAGCUCCUCUGAUGUCCGUUUUCGAUGCCGUUUGUGGCAACGUGUUCGUCUUGUCCAGACGAACCUCUUGGUGUGGUCAAAAGUUGAUUUGGAUCAACUUAAAUUUUCUAUCAAUGUUACUCUGG